rnacentral:rRNA from 1 species
GCGAUCAUACCAGCCCUAAUGCACCGGAUCCCAUCAGAUCUCCGCAGU